GACGAACGCUGGCGGCGUGCUUAACACAUGCAAGUCGAACGGUAAGGCCCUUCGGGGUACACGAGUGGCGAACGGGUGAGUAACACGUGGGUGAUCUGCCCUGCACUUCGGGAUAAGCCUGGGAAACUGGGUCUAAUACCGGAUAGGACUCCGGACUGCAUGGUCUGGGGUGGAAAGCUUUUGCGGUGCGGGAUGGGCCCGCGGCCUAUCAGCUUGUUGGUGGGGUGAUGGCCUACCAAGGCGACGACGGGUAGCCGGCCUGAGAGGGUGACCGGCCACACUGGGACUGGGAUACGGCCCAGACUCGUACGGGAGGCAGCAGUGGGGAAUAUUGCACAAUGGGCGCAAGCCUGAUGCAGCGACGCCGCGUGAGGGAUGACGGCCUUCGGGUUGUAAACCUCUUUCAGCAUCGACGAAGCGAAAGUGACGGUAGGUGCAGAAGAAGGACCGGCCAACUACGUGCCAGCAGCCGCCGUAA
rnacentral:rRNA from 1 species